GGGACCCGCACAAGCAGCGGAGCGUUGUGGUUUAAUUUCGAUGCUACACGAAGAACCUUACCAGGGUUUGACAUGCAAGUGGUAGGAAACUGAAAGGGACCGACCUUCGGGAGCUUGCACAGGUGCUGCAUGGCUGUCGUCAGCUCGUGUCGUGAGAUGUUCGGUUAAGUCCGCUAACGAGCGCAACCCUCACUGUGUGUUAUAUGUGUCACACGGGACUGCCGGUUUUAAGCCGGAGGAAGGUGGGGAUGACGUCAAGUCAGCAUGGCCUUUAUAUCCUGGGCUACACACACGCUACAAUGGUCGGUACAAUAGGUUGCCAAGCCGCGAGGCGGAGCCAAUCCAUAAAAGCCGGCCUCAGUUCAGAUUGGAGUCUGAAACCCGACUCCAUGAAGGUGGAAUCGCUAGUAAUCGCGCAUCAGCAUGGCGCGGUGAAUACGUUCCCGGGCCUU
rnacentral:rRNA from 1 species